GUGAAUCAUCAAAUUUUUGAACGCAAAUUGCACUCCCUGGCAUCCCGGGGAGUAUGCCUGUUUGAGGGUCAGUUUUAAUAAAAAACCGUGUGAUUUACAAAUUUUGAGGUGUCGGGCGGUUUUUGGAUCGUAAUACUUUUGGUUAAGAGGCCUAAAAUUUACCUUGUUUUUGUAUUUAUAUAUGUACAUAAAUUUUCUUUAGUUUUCGAUUUCGAAUGCCAAAAUCUGAUUAGAUG
rnacentral:misc_RNA from 1 species